rnacentral:rRNA from 1 species
UACAGAGGGGGCAAGCGUUAUUCGGAAUUAUUGGGCGUAAAGGGCGCGUAGGCGGGCUGACAAGUCUGGGGUGAAAUCCCGCGGCUCAACCGUGGAACUGCCUUAGAUACUGUCGGCCUCGAGGAAGGUAGGGGCAUGCGGAACUGUAGGUGGAGCGGUGAAAUGCGUUGAUAUCUACAGGAACUCCGGUGGCGAAAGCGGCGUGCUGGACCUUUUCUGACGCUGAGGCGCGAAAGCUAGGGGAGCAAACGGG